rnacentral:rRNA from 1 species
CAGUAGCCGCGGUAAUACGAAGGGUGCAAGCGUUAAUCGGAAUUACUGGGCGUAAAGCGUGCGUAGGCGGUGAGUUAAGUCUGCUGUGAAAUCCCCGGACUCAACCUGGGAAUGGCAGUGGAUACUGGCAAGCUAGAGUGUGUCAGAGGAUGGUGGAAUUCCCGGUGUAGCGGUGAAAUGCGUAGGGAUCGGGAGGAACAUCAGUGGCGAAGGCGGCCAUCUGGGACAACACUGACGCUGAGGCACGAAAGCGUGGGGAGCAAACAGGAUUAGAUACCCCUGUAGUCCCUGUCUCUUAUAC